CAGCAGCCGCGGGAAUACAGAGGGUGCAAGCGUUAAUCGGAAUUACUGGGCGUAAAGCGCGCGUAGGUGGUUUGUUAAGUUGGAUGUGAAAUCCCCGGGCUCAACCUGGGAACUGCAUCCAAAACUGGCAGGCUAGAGUAGGGCAGAGGGUGGUGGAAUUUCCUGUGUAGCGGUGAAAUGCGUAGAUAUAGGAAGGAACACCAGUGGCGAAGGCGACCACCUGGGCUCAUACUGACACUGAGGUGCGAAAGCGUGGGGAGCAAACAGGAUUAGAUACCCCAGUAGUCCCUGUCUCUUAUAC
rnacentral:rRNA from 1 species